ACAAGAGUUUGGGCUAUUAACACAGGUUUGAGUCAGGCUGACUGGAGCUAUAAAGCCCUUCUCCUGUUCUCUGUGUGUUCUUUUCAGUUCCGUCUUCCUGAGGCUGCUGUGUUUCUGGGCAUGCCCAGGGGAUCUUCAGACUUUACAAACCGGUUGUGCAGAGCCAGGCGUUUCAAUAAGAAACAAAAUGCUGAGUAACAACAUGAAGUCAGAGUGUUGCUUGCCAAGACCUGGGAGGCCUGGGUGGUUUCCCAACCUUAAAGAAGCAGAAGGAUAUUAAAGUGAGCCUCCCGAAGGAAAACGUGGAUCUACUUACCAACACAGAAAAUGAUACAUAAGGAUUCGAUUUAGAACAGACUAAUACAUAACUAACAGCUUACCUUUGUGAAGAAUAUCUUAUGCACUGUAGAACAGAUAAUUUUCAGUCCUGGGCCAAAGCAGGGAAAGUUUGGAGAGAUUUAAACAGGAAAUGACUCUGCUACAAAGAAUUCAGGAGCACAAGUGAAGCACUGUGGAUUCAAAUGAUUUGGAGGAGCAGGUUCUCUGAGCCAGGAUUCUAAAGUUCCUAUUCAGGAAAGAGCCACGUUGUAUGGUUACCCUACCACAAAGACACAGGC